AUUGAACGCUAGCGGGAUGCCUUACACAUGCAAGUCGAACGAGUGGCGAACGGGUGAGUAAUGUCUGGGAAACUGCCCGAUGGAGGGGGAUAACUACUGGAAACGGUAGCUAAUACCGCAUACCAUCGGAUGUGCCCAGCUGGGAUUAGCUAGUAGGUGGGGUAACGGCUCACCUAGGCGACGAUCCCUCGCUGGUCUGAGAGGAUGACCAGCCAAACUGGAAAUGAGACACGGUCCAGACUCCUACGGGAGGCAGCAGUGGGGAAUAUUGCACAAUGGGCGCAAGCCUGAUGCAGCCAGGCCGCGUGUAUGAAGAAGGCCGUCGGGUUGUAAAGUACUUUCAGCGAGGAGGCGUUACUCGCAGAAGAAGCACCGGCUAACUCCGUGCCAGCCGCCGCGGUAAUAC
rnacentral:rRNA from 1 species